GGAUAAGCUAUUAAGGGCUAACGGCGGAUGCCUUGGCAUCGGAAGGCGAUGAAGGACGUGGCAAACUGCGAUAAGCUUCGGGGAGCUGUUAACAGGCUUUGAUCCGGAGAUUUCCGAAUGGGGAAACCCGGCAGGAUUUAUAUCCUGUCAUUUAUUACUCAAUUCAUAGGUAAUAAAAGCGAACGCGGGGAAUUGAAACAUCUAAGUACCUGCAGGAAUAGAAAUCAAUUGAGAUUCCGUGAGUAGCGGCGAGCGAAAGCGGACAAGCCCAAACCGGCAGAUUUAUCUGCCGGGGUUGUAGGACCCUGAUAUGGGAUUGAAUAUAUAUAGCGGAACAGUAUGGAAAGGCUGACCACAGACGGUGAUAGUCCGGUACGCGAAAUGUAGAUUCACCCUAAGGAGUUCCUGAGUACCACGGGACACGUGAAACCCUGUGGGAAUCCGGGAGGGGAGUGAAAUAGAAACUGAAACCGUUAGCUUACAAGCAGUGGGAGCACUAUGUAUUUAUACAGUGUAACCGCGUGCCUUUUGCAUAAUGAGUCAACGACUUACCCUGUGCAGCAAGGUUAAGCCGCGAGGUGGAGCCGCAGCGAAAGCGAGUCUUAAUAGGGCGCAGGGCGUGCACACUCUUAAGUUGGUGGAAUGCGUACUCAGAUUUAGUGCAGGUUUGGCUGAUCUGAUUGAACAAAUCCGCAGGAAUAGCAGCACUAUUUUGAGGAAUUUGUUCAUGAAGAGUUGUAUGGGGUAGACCCGAAGCCGGGUGAUCUAUCCAUGGCCAGGGUGAAGGUCGAGUAACAUCGACUGGAGGCCCGAACCGAUAUAGGUUGAAAACUGUUCGGAUGAGCUGUGGAUAGGAGUGAAAGGCUAAUCAAACUCGGUGAUAGCUGGUUUUCUCCGAAAUAUAUUUAGGUAUAGCCUCGCAUGUUGACUGACGGAGGUAGAGCACUGACAAGACUAGGGGUCCCACCGGAUUACCAACUCUUUUCAAACUCCGAAUACCGUCAAGUUCUAGUGCGGGAGUCAGACUGCGGGAGAUAAGUUCCGUAGUCGAAAGGGAAAGAACCCAGACCGUCAGCUAAGGUCCCCAAAUCUGUGCUAAGUGGAAAAGGAUGUGGAAUCGCCCAUACAACCAGGAGGUUGGCUUAGAAGCAGCAACCCUUUAAAGAAAGCGUAAUAGCUCACUGGUCCAGCGAUACCGCGCCGAAAAUUUACCGGGGCUCAAGCACAGUACCGAAGCUACGGAUCCAGAAGCUGAUUUAAGUUUAUUAAUACAACACAAUGGUAGGUGAAUUUAGCGAGCGUUUUUGCUUUAUGCUCGCAACUACCCUAAAGCAAGCAGUACAAUUAAUAGGUUUAAGUCAGCUUCUGGAUGGUAGGAGAACAUUGUGGCCGCCUGAGAAGGUACACCGAAAGGAGUGCUGGAGGUUCCACAAGAGCUUAUGUUGACACGAGUAGCGAUAAACAAGGUGAGAAACCUUGUCGC
rnacentral:rRNA from 1 species